UACGGAGGAUCCGAGCGUUAUCCGGAUUUAUUGGGUUUAAAGGGUGCGCAGGCGGGAGAUUAAGUCGGCGGUGAAAUUUUGCAGCUCAACUGUAAAAGUGCCUUCGAAACUGGUUUCCUUGAGUGUAGAUGAAGUAGGCGGAAUUUGUGGUGUAGUGGUGAAAUGCAUAGAUAUCACGAGGAACUCCGAUUGCGCAGGCAGCUUACUAAACUACUACUGACGCUCAGGCACGAAGGCGUGGGGAUCAAACAGGAUUAGAUACCCGGGUAGU
rnacentral:rRNA from 1 species